rnacentral:rRNA from 1 species
AUUGAACGCUGGCGGAAUGCUUUACACAUACAAGUCGAGCGGCAGCACGGGGGCAACCCUGGUGGCGAGCGGCGAACGGGUGAGUAAUACAUCGGAACAUGCCCAGUCGUGGGGGAUAACACUUCGAAAGAAGUGCUAAUACCGCAUACGUCCUGAGGGAGAAAGCGGGGGAUCUUCGGACCUCGCGCGAUUGGAGUGGCCGAUGUCAGAUUAGCUAGUUGGUGGGGUAAAGGCCUACCAAGGCAACGAUCUGUAGCUGGUCUGAGAGGAUGAUCAGCCACACUGGGACUGAGACACGGCCCAGACUCCUACGGGAGGCAGCAGUGGGGAAUUUUGGACAAUGGGGGCAACCCUGAUCCAGCCAUUCCGCGUGAGUGAAGAAGGCCUUCGGGUUGUAAAGCUCUUUCGGCAGGAACGAAACGGCGAGCUCUAACAUAGCAUGCUAAUGACGGUACCUGAAGAAGAAGCACCGGCUAACUACGUGCCAGCAGCCGCCGUAAGAC